GAUGAACGCUAGCGGCAGGCUUAAUACAUGCAAGUCGUGGGGCAGCAUGAAUGUAGCAAUACAUUUGAUGGCGACCGGCAAACGGGUGCGGAACACGUACACAACCUUCCUAUAAGUGGGGAAUAGCCCAGAGAAAUUUGGAUUAAUACCCCGUAACAUAAUGAUGUGGCAUCACAUUAUUAUUAUAGCUACGGCGCUUAUUGAUGGGUGUGCGGCUGAUUAGAUAGUUGGCGGGGUAACGGCCCACCAAGUCUACGAUCAGUAGCUGAUGUGAGAGCAUGAUCAGCCACACGGGCACUGAGACACGGGCCCGACUCCUACGGGAGGCAGCAGUAAGGAAUAUUGGUCAAUGGACGCAAGUCUGAACCAGCCAUGCCGCGUGAAGGAUUAAGGUCCUCUGGAUUGUAAACUUCUUUUAUCUGGGACGAAAAAAGGCGAUUCUUCGUCACUUGACGGUACCAGAUGAAUAAGCACCGGCUAACUCCGUGCCAGCAGCCGCCGCAGUAA
rnacentral:rRNA from 1 species